GUUGAGAAAACCGGUGCAAGCACAAUAGAUGUGUGGGAGGAAAAACCCCCGCGUAAGUCGAAGGUGUGACGCGGACCGAAAAAGAGUAGGGAAGCUGUUUAGCAAGCCGUCAAGAAAGGCUGCUAUUGUUUCAUUAUGGCCCGUACCGUAAACCGACACAGGUGGAUGGGGAGAGAAUCCUAUGGCCGGCGGAAGAAGUAUUGUUAAGGAACUCGGCAAAAUGACCCCGUAACUUCGGGAGAAGGGGUGCCUGCGAGAGCAGGCCGCAGAGAAGAGGCCCAAGCAACUGUUUAGCAAAAACACAGGUCUAUGCAAAACCGAAAGGUGAGGUAUAUGGGCUGACGCCUGCCCGGUGCUGGAAGGUUAAGGGGAGUGGUCAGGAAACGAAGCCACGAACUUAAGCCCCAGUAAACGGCGGCCGUAACUAUAACGGUCCUAAGGUAGCGAAAUUCCUUGUCGGGUAAGUUCCGACCCGCACGAAAGGCGUAAUGAUUUGGGCGCUGUCUCGACAAUACAUCCGGUGAAAUUGAAGUGCCAGUGAAGAUGCUGGCUACCUGCGCCAGGACGGAAAGACCCCAUGGAGCUUUACUCCAGCUUGAUACUGGGACCCGGUAUUGCAUGUACAGGAUAGGUGGGAGGCUAGGAAAUGUGGACGCCAGUCUGCAUGGAGCCGCUGUUGGGAUACCACCCUUGUGGUGCUGGGUUUCUAACCAGAGGCCGUGAACCGGUCUGGGGACAAUGUCAGGUGGGGAGUUUGACUGGGGCGGUCGCCUCCGAAAGGGUAUCGGAGGCGCCCAAAGGUUCCCUCAGAAUGGUUGGAAACCAUUCGAAGAGUGCAAAGGCAGAAGGGAGCUUGACUGCGACACCGACGGGUGGAGCAGGUACGAAAGUAGGGCUUAGUGAUCCGGUGGAAUUUAAGUGGGAAUGCCAUCGCUCAACGGAUAAAAGCUACCCUGGGAUAACAGGCUGAUCACUCCCAAGAGUUCACAUCGACGGAGUGGUUUGGCACCUCGAUGUCGGCUCAUCGCAUCCUGGGGCUGAAGUCGGUCCCAAGGGUUGGGCUGUUCGCCCAUUAAAGCGGUACGCGAGCUGGGUUCAGAACGUCGUGAGACAGUUCGGUCCCUAUCCGGCGUGGGCGUAGGAUAUCUGAGAGGAGCUGUCCUUAGUACGAGAGGACCGGGAUGGACUGACCUCUGGUGUACCGGUUGGCGAUCAACGCCACGGCCGGGUAGCCAUGUCGGGACGGGAUAAACGCUGAAGGCAUCUAAGCGUGAAGCCCCCCUCAAGAUGAGAUAUCCCAUUCGAAAGAAGUAAGACCCCUUGAAGACGACGAGGUUGAUAGGGCAGGGGUGGAAGUGCCGUAAGGCAUGGAGCUGACUGCUACUAAUCGGUCGAGGGCUUGACCUG
rnacentral:rRNA from 1 species